GGCGAACAACGACGAUGGUGAGUUCUUUCUCCGACGAGUUCUCGUCCUCCGGUUAUCUCUCUUUCCCCGCCGGUCGAAGAAGAAGAUGAUGAAAUGGCAGAGCCUCUGGGAUGGAAGGCGCCAAGGAAAAGAAACAGGAAGAACCAGAAGAAAAAUGCUACUGGUGGAAGUUAUGUAGAGCACAUGGCCCCAAAUUAAAGCAUUCCCUAUUUCCUUAACUAAGUCUUCGAAUUCUGUAGAUCUAUUAAAUUUGUGAAAUUCACUUCUACCGUGAUUCACUGCCUC